CCUACGGGUGGCAGCAGUGGGGAAUAUUGGACAAUGGGCGAAAGCCUGAUCCAGCCAUGCCGCGUGUGUGAAGAAGGCCUUCGGGUUGUAAAGCACUUUCAGUGGGGAAGAAAGCCUUGGGGCUAAUACCCUCGAGGAAGGACAUCACCCACAGAAGAAGCACCGGCUAACUCCGUGCCAGCAGCCGCGGUAAUACGGAGGGUGCGAGCGUUAAUCGGAAUUACUGGGCGUAAAGCGCGCGUAGGCGGUCUGAUAAGCCGGUUGUGAAAGCCCCGGGCUCAACCUGGGAACGGCAUCCGGAACUGUCAGGCUAGAGUGCAGGAGAGGAAGGUAGAAUUCCCGGUGUAGCGGUGAAAUGCGUAGAGAUCCGGAGGAAUACCAGUGGCGAAGGCGGCCUUCUGGACUGACACUGACGCUGAGGUGCGAAAGCGUGGGUAGCAAACAGGAUUAGAUACCCGUGUAGUC
rnacentral:rRNA from 1 species